ACAAGGGCGUCAUGGCCAACCAUGGCGCAUGGUGCUCGCAAGCAACGAGCGGAGGUUGUUUGACAUCGGCACGGAGGAGGAGGACGGGCACGGACGGAGGACAGAGCACCUCUCUUCUUACAGGUUAGUGAGCAGCUUCAGGAGGAGCUCAAGCACGACCACCAAGAGGCACCACCGCAGCAACAGGGCGACUGUGGAAGGCAUGUUGUAUUUCUGUCAGCCCAGUCCUGACUAUGUCUGUCCGUGAGUCCAACAUUUGAUCGCUGUUGAAGGAGCUCAGAU